rnacentral:rRNA from 1 species
UACGUAGGCAGCGAGCGUUGUUCGGAGUUACUGGGCGUAAAGGGUGUGUAGGCGGUUUUCUAAGUUUGGUGUGAAAUCUCCCGGCUUAACCGGGAGGGUGCGCCGAAAACUGGGAGACUAGAGUGCGGGAUGGGAGAGUAGAAUUCCUGGUGUAGCGGUGAAAUGCGCAGAUAUCGGGAAGAACACCCGUGGCGAAGGCGGCUCUCUGGGACGGUACUGACGCUGAGACGCGAAAGCGUGGGGAGCGAACAGG